rnacentral:rRNA from 1 species
AUACGGAGGAUGCAAGCGUUAUCCGGAUUUAUUGGGUUUAAAGGGUGCGUAGGCGGUUUGCUAAGCGGGAGGUGAAACGCCGGCGCUCAACGUCGGAAGUGCCUCCCGAACUGGUGGACUUGAAUGACUCUGCCGUGGGAGGAAUGUGUAGUGUAGCGGUGAAAUGCUUAGAGAUUACACAGAACACCGAUUGCGAAGGCAUCUCACGAAGGGUUGAUUGACGCUGAGGCACGAAAGCGUGGGGAUCAAACAGGAUUAGAUACCCUGGUAGUCCACGCAGUAAACGAUGAUGGCUAACCGCUGGGCUUAUCAGUUCAGUGGCCAAGCGAAAGCGAUAAGCCAUCCACCUGGGGAGUACGACCGCAAGGUUGAAACUCAAAGGAAUUGACGGGG